AUUUUUUUUUUUUUUUGGUCUUAUGAUAAAACAAUUUCUAUUUAUAGUAAUGCAAAGGAGAAAAAUUAUGGUUCAAAUCGGAUGUUUUUUUUAUGCUUUAAUUAUCCUUCUUUCUCCAUUUCUUGUUGCAACCCACCAAAGCAUUGAUGAUGUUAUUCCUUGCGUUUUGAACACCGACUGUCCAAGAGAUAUGUGUCCCAUUCAUCUUUUUCCAAAGUGCAUCAAUUUAUUAUGUCGAUGCAGUUAUUGGGAGGACAAUUAAGUUGUCAAUUUCGUUGUAAAGCUCAAAUUUGUGGGUUGGUGUUAUUCUUGGGAGAAACCGACUUGCUUAUAGCAAGAGAAAGUGAGAAAUUGAUCAUGAAGUAAUUGAGUAACUAGUCUUUUUUUAUCUUUUAUCUAAGUCAUGUGUCCCUGUGAUUUGUUAGUGCUAUUAAUACAUUUAAAAAGGUAUAUAUUUAUUAUAAAAUAUAAAUCUCUUGAAUUGAGGGCAUACAACACAAGAAGAAGAUCCCUCAAAAAAAAAAAAAAAAA